GCUGGCGGCGUGCCUAAUACAUGCAAGUCGAACGCUUCUUUCCUCCCGAGUGCUUGCACUCAAUUGGAAAGAGGAGUGGCGGACGGGUGAGUAGCACGUGGGUAACCUACCCAUCAGAGGGGGAUAACACUUGGAAACAGGUGCUAAUACCGCAUAACAGUUUAUGCCGCAUGGCAUAAGAGUGAAAGGCGCUUUCGGGUGUCGCUGAUGGAUGGACCCGCGGUGCAUUAGCUAGUUGGUGAGGUAACGGCUCGCCAAGGCUACGAUGCAUAGCCGACCUGAGAGGGUGAUCGGCCACACUGGGACUGAGACACGGCCCAGACUCCUACGGGAGGCAGCAGUAGGGAAUCUUCGGCAAUGGACGGAAGUCUGACCGAGCAACGCCGCGUGAGUGAAGAAGGUUUUCGGAUCGUAAAACUCUGUUGUUAGAGAAGAACAAGGACGUUAGUAACUGAACGUCCCCUGACGGUAUCUAACCAGAAAGCCACGGCUAACUACGUGCCAGCAGCCGCGGUAAUACGUAGGUGGCAAGCGUUGUCCGGAUUUAUUGGGCGUAAAGCGAGCGCAGGCGGUUUCUUAAGUCUGAUGUGAAAGCCCCCGGCUCAACCGGGGAGGGUCAUUGGAAACUGGGAGACUUGAGUGCAGAAGAGGAGAGUGGAAUUCCAUGUGUAGCGGUGAAAUGCGUAGAUAUAUGGAGGAACACCAGUGGCGAAGGCGGCUCUCUGGUCUGUAACUGACGCUGAGGCUCGAAAGCGUGGGGAGCAAACAGGAUUAGAUACCCUGGUAGUCCACGCCGUAAACGAUGAGUGCUAAGUGUUGGAGGGUUUCCGCCCUUCAGUGCUGCAGCAAACGCAUUAAGCACUCCGCCUGGGGAGUACGACCGCAAGGUUGAAA
rnacentral:rRNA from 1 species